UACGGGGGGGGCAAGCGUUGUUCGGAAUUACUGGGCGUAAAGGGCUCGUAGGCGGCCAACUAAGUCAGACGUGAAAUCCCUCGGCUUAACCGGGGAACUGCGUCUGAUACUGGAUGGCUUGAGUUUGGGAGAGGGAUGCGGAAUUCCAGGUGUAGCGGUGAAAUGCGUAGAUAUCCGGAAGAACACCGGAGGCGAAGGCGGCUUGCUGGACCUGGUCUGACGCUGAGGCGCGAAAGCGUGGGGAGCGAACAGG
rnacentral:rRNA from 1 species